GUACACUCCUGCGGGAGGCAGCAGUGGGGAAUUUUGGACAAUGGGCGAAAGCCUGAUCCAGCAAUGCCGCGUGAGUGAAGAAGGCCUUCGGGUUGUAAAGCUCUUUUGUCAGGGAAGAAACGGUGAGAGCUAAUAUCUUUUGCUAAUGACGGUACCUGAAGAAUAAGCACCGGCUAACUACGUGCCAGCAGCCGCGGUAAUACGUAGGGUGCAAGCGUUAAUCGGAAUUACUGGGCGUAAAGCGUGCGCAGGCGGUUUUGUAAGUCUGAUGUGAAAUCCCCGGGCUCAACCUGGGAAUUGCAUUGGAGACUGCAAGGCUAGAAUCUGGCAGAGGGGGGUAGAAUUCCACGUGUAGCAGUGAAAUGCGUAGAUAUGUGGAGGAACACCGAUGGCGAAGGCAGCCCCCUGGGUCAAGAUUGACGCUCAUGCACGAAAGCGUGGGGAGCAAACAGGAUUAGAAACCCCGGUAGUCCCA
rnacentral:rRNA from 1 species